rnacentral:lncRNA from 1 species
AAAACAGGCCACAGGGCCCGUAUCUAUGGGACAUUACAUAACUCUAUCCUGUUCACAUCUCCAUUACUCUUCUCUCCUCUCCCCAAGUCAGCCUAAGAAGAUGUCUUCUACUUGAGUGUCAAGGAAGCCCCCUAUCCUUCAAGGUGCUUCUUUUCAAUGUCCUAUCCAUGCCCAAUACCCAAAGUAGCUCUAUUAUCCUGAGAAGAAGAAGCCAGGAAGAACCUUUCUGCUCUGCUUUUCAACCUGUCAUGAACUUCCCCUAAGGAAAUAAGCACAGAGGAUGAUCUUACUUGAAGGGAGAAGGAGAGUGCCAGCCAGAGAAAAGCAGGCAUUUGAAGUUGUGACCCCAGUCUAGAGGCUGCUGGGUGGUCAGGGCCACUGCUACGUCUCUAUGAGGUGGGAGGCAUUUCCUCUUACUCCCAGAGCUCCUACCAAAAUGUUGUCAGAACCACUUGUCUUUCCCCUUAACCCAGAUGUGUUGAGUCUUUGCAACAUAAAGUACUCUUACAGAUGCACUGAAGAAUAUAGUUUCCAUGAGCUUCCAUGGGGUUCAACACUAGGGAUGAAGCAUCCUCAAUAUGUCACUCUAGGGCUGUGAUGAGAUGAAAUCCCAGCCUCAAAGGAAAGCAUGUUCCUACCCUCACCAAUUCUGCUCAACACCUGGUGUUAUAGGCGUAUAGUUUCCUUCCCUAUAUCAAUACAGAUCCUAGAACGGAAAUUAGCACUGUUGACUAGGGGAAGUGGAGGAAGAAUCCAGAAGAUCAAACAAAAUUAUUCAGUACAUUCAAGGAAUAAAGUAUGUCUUUUCCAAUUUUCCACAGCAGUUUCUCUUCCCAAACAAAUAGACAGCAUCCAUCCUUGUAAGGAGACCAUCCUUAAACUGGCAAAUUUAGUUUCUCCUCUUUUUGAGGGCCCCAGCUACAUUUGACAUUUACUCUUUUAUUUGAUUUUGAUAUGAAAUCCUGUAAAUAAUCUAAGGCAGUGAUCAUUAUCCCUUUGAAAAAUGAGAAGUUUAGGACAGAAGAGUCAAGUGGCUCACACAUGGUCCCAUUUCUUAACGUG